rnacentral:lncRNA from 1 species
CUUGUAUGGUUUUUAUUAUUAUGAAGAGGUUUUAGUAUGAAUCAAGGUGUGAGCCCAGGUUUAAGAGAAUAAACAGUGUGUACCUGACAGAUGAAACUCAUAACACUUUUAUGACACCAGUCAUAGCACCUUUGAGUGUUUCAAUAUCAUUCAUAACAACCUUCAUAACGCAUUUAUUCAACAUCAUUCAUAAGGUAUCCUCCUCCAGUAAAGUGUUACGUGUCACCUAUUUAGGGUAGUUUGUAGACACGUGUAUCUUAGAACAGCAUUAAAUGAUGAAUGAUUGACUCUACUUUAAGUUUCCAAACUUUUUAUAUACUGUAUCACUUGUUUAUAUAUGAGCAGUCUAAGAUGUCCCAGUAGUGUUUUUAUGUUCCUCUCCUGUUGAGAGGAACUGAAGUCUUGUUCUUUGGGCAGAAUUAAGAGCUGUUGUAUCAGAUUAUAGGGUGUCAGGUGGUUGUGGUUUGUCAUGUCAGAGCGCUUCCUGAUCAGGUUUUGCAACAUCUCCUGGCAAUGUCUCUCUGCCCCUUGUGUUUUCUCUCAUUUCAUGACAUGUCUGUGGUGGAGGAUUCGUCUAAGGUUAGCUAAACCAUACACAGAUAUCUGUGAAGUUAUGGGAGGGUAACCCAGAUGGUCACUUUUAGUAUGCUCAUACUAAAAUACCUCUGUGCAUGAAUCCUUACGAAGAAACAGGGAAACAUUUUAAGGACAUUUCCCAGCCCAACAUUGACAUAAGAUGUUUGUCAUGUGGAAUUUUUGUUAAGGAUGGGGUUAUCCGUGCCAAAGAUGACAACUGGCAAGACCCCAUUCUGUCCUUAGGCCAAUCUGGACUUAGUUUAUUGUUGGGGUAGAUUUACAGCUAACCAAGAAUCACUUUUAUAGCUCAUAUCUUGAUGAUCUUGGGCUCCCAAGUGGCGCAGCGGUCUAACGCACUGCAUCUCAGAUCUUGAGGUGUCACUCCAGGAUGUCUCACAACCAGCCGUGAUUGGGAGUCCCAUAGGGCGCGCACAAUUGGCCCAGCGUCGUCCGGGUUUUGGCCAUCAUUGUAAAUAAGAAUUUGUUCUUAACUGACUUGCCUAGUUAAAUAAAAAAAAUGAUGCCCAGUACGCUUUCUUUUUCCAGUAACAGGUACCAGACAGUAGCUAACAGUAACAGGUACCAGACAGUAGCAGGUACCAGACAGUAGUUAACAGUAACAGGUACCAGACAGUAGUUAACAGUAGCAGGUACCAGACAGUAGCUAACAGUAACAGGUACCAGACAUUAGCUAACAGUAACAGGUUCCAGACAGUAACAGGUACCAGACAGUAGCUAACAGUAACAGGUACCAGACAGUAGCAGGUACCAGACAGUAGCUUACAGUAACAGGUACCAGACAGUAGCUAACAGUAACAGGUACCAGACAGUAGCAGGUACCAGACAGUAGCUUACAGUAGCAGGUACCAGACAGUAGCUAACAGUAACAGGUACCAGACA